AACAUCCAAUUCGAGGGAACUCCUUAAUUUUUGUGUUGUUUCUCAAAUGUAAGAGUAUGUGUUUGAAUGGGUGAAUGAGAAGCAUUAAGUUUUCGAACUUCACUGCACUUUAUUAUUUAUUCCGUUCAUUUCACUUACUUGUAGUUAGUCAGUGUUAAGAUAUAUUACAUGGAAAAGAUGACGCGCUGUGGCGACUCCUAAAAGGAAAAGCCGAAAGUAAAUGAAAAUUAAGGGAAAGAUACAGUAUGACACAUCCAAUAUGGUGGAUGCGCUUUACGUAUUACAAUAACUGACCAAGUUGCUGGGGCUGGGGUCGAAUUCUAUACUGAACGUUCUAAACUGUGGUUGACAGAACCUGCCCCCAAAUCUGCUCUAAGGGGCUGAGUCGACGUCCAGGCAAAGACCGUGGCCACGGCACUUGAGACCCUUUCCGGGACUGGGCCUCGGCUUUGCGUCUGGAGGAUGAGGGUUGACGAGAAGCUGAAGGAAGUAAAGGCAUCUCUGAGCUGGAGCCAAUCCCAGCUAACUUCGGGCAGCAGCAGACUACAGCCCAAACUGGUUAGCCAGCCAGUCGCAGUGCAGAUAUCGACACCAUCACUGAUAGGGAAUUGAUCCCACGCUGCCUUCACUCAGAAUGUCCCUCGGAGGGAAACCCAAACUACAAUGUGGCCCCCAAGACAAAUGAGUUUGACCCCCCGCACUACACCAUCAGAAAAAAAUUUUUACCCGAACACUGGCAUAGAGUGAGCAAGAGCUGAAUGACAUGGGCAAAAUAGCAGAAAGAAACACGUGGAUACACCUUACACACUGUAAAAGGUAAUCUCAGCUGAGUCAACCAAAGGGAAAGGUGAGCAAAGUCCAGUGUACGGUGGUUGCGGAUUUAUAGUAUCUGAAAAUACCUGAAGGCUGGUGAAGAUUUAAAAGACACUUGACUCAUUUAGGGGUGACUUGAUCGACAUGACUUCAAAAUGACUAAAUAAUAUGACAGCAUGUUGGGCUGCAACAUUGACAGCCGUAAUGAUAUUUUUGUUCAUAUGCUUCUUUUGGACACCUGUAAAGCUGACAAAAAUACAUAACAACAGAAUCUAUAAUUGUACUCAGUCAACUAUGUCUACCACACAUAAGAUAAAGAGGUGAAACCUCAUUUCAAAUAAUAUUGGUAAACAACUAUGCAGGAGUCACCAAGGCAUGAAGGGAGGACUCUGUGUGUGCCUCCCAAUGAAUCAGUUAAGCACUUUUUCAAUUGACCCCUCCGUACAGGGCACUUAACCACGCCUCCUGAAGUUACGUCACCCCACGUGUGCUAACCUCAGACAAACAAUUAGCAAAAAUGGCGGCGCAGGAAGAAAAGACUAGAGCGAAAUUGUCCGAUUUACCAGCUGAUUUCUCACUCACAUUCUUAGCGAAUAGUGAAAUAUCAUUGAAAAGCAGAAAGCAGGGCUUCAAAUAUUUCAGCGAGGGGUAUUUCAAUGGUAUUUACAUGCAUAUCGACGGAGAAACCAUUGAUAUUAGCGCGAGAUCUUUCCGGAGUCAGAGGAAGACCGAGAAGCCACGUAAUAUAAUAUAUUAUGACCCAAAGACAAAUUCGUCAUUGACAGUUUCCUAUUUUCGUGUUACAUAUCACACUUGGGUGCAGAAUCUGUAUGUGUAUCUGUAUAGCCGUUUGUGAACCGCCGUAUGAAGGAAAAGAAGGCGAGGCUUGAUUUACGAGUUAUUUCUCUCGUUUUCUUUGUGUAACGUCACGCGCUCCCCUCAAUAAUUAUUCUUGAAUUAGUGCCGAACCUACGUAAGUCCCGACCAAGUACGACAAUCACUACUUUAUAGUAUCCUCAAACAUCCUUCCUUCAGUCUUUGUGUCUCGGUGCACGUCGAAGGCUUUUAGGACUCGCUAGUCCGGUUUCGCUUAGCUCGGGAGCCGCCGAACAGAGACACGUUUGUGCAGUCAGAUCAUCGCAAAAUAUCGCUCAACACAGAUCAAGUGUGUCAAUCAUUCACAGUUAGCUAUGUUAUGCAAGCAAAGAACUGCUAAUUCAUUUAUAUAAGACAUGUAUUGGAAAUCAAAUAUACGGCAUACCUUCGUGCAAACACAGUCCGGUUUACAGUAGCCGCGUAGGCGCGAACAAAUGGACACGUUUGUGCAGUCAGAUCAUCGCAAAAUAUUGCUCAACACAGAUCAAGUGUGUCAAUCAUUCACAUGUAGCUAUAUUAUGCAAGCAAAGAGCUGCUAAUUCAUUUAUAUGAGACAUGUAUUGAAAAUCAAAUAUAGGGCAUACCUUCGCGCAAACAUAGUCCGGUUUACCAUAGCUCGGUAGCCGGCAACAAAGAGACACGUUUGUGCAGUCAGAUCAUCGCAAAAUAUCGGUCAACACAGAUCAAGUGUGUCAAUCAUUCACAGUUAGCUAUGUUAUGCAAGCGAAGAACUGCUAAUUCAUUUAUAUGAGACAUGUAUUGAAAAUCAAAAAUAGGGCUUACCUUUGUGCAAACAUAUCUGUUCCGGUUGAUUUUAGAUGGAUUCAGUUGAUCAUACGAUCUUCCAUAAAGUUUGAUCCAUCGAAGACAUUUUUCGUACUCGGUCUUCUGUUCCGGUUGAUAUUAGAUGGAUUCAGUUGAUGAUGCAGUCUUCCACAAAGUUUGAUCCAUCGAAGACAUUUUUUGUACUCGGUCUUCGGUUUUGGAAAGGGUACGAAUUGAACUCCACCAACUAGCCUUUCAGGAUACCUGUCGUCACUAUUACAAAGUCCAUGACAACACCUCUUAACCAUAUCUAUUGUUAAAGAACCCAAAUACGCGAUAAAACGCUAACAAAAGCUAUACUGGACCACGCAACGUUGUCUGAGGGAAUGGCGGGUGCAAAAAGGGGCGUGGUUUAUGCAGAUCUCUGGCCUCUGAUUGGUCAGCGACGUCAAUUCCUUGGCAGUCUAAUUGCUGGGGAUUCCAUCUAUGGGCUUAUGCUAAAGGAAACACCCAUUUUCUUCUCACCUUUUGCCAAUUUAAUGCUAACUUAAACCCGAAAGCCAUACAAAAGAGUCCGUAUACUAUGGAGGUAGUUGAAGUAUUUUAACUGAAAAAGCGUGAGGAACAUUUCAUUAUUUUUUUUUACAUAAGGGAAACAACUGGUUGUUAUUAAUGGAGAUUGCAGCUAACAGGGUAAACUAUAGUUGCAUCACGUGCAUGGGCCCUAGGUCACUAAUAUGUGUCAUUCCAACAGAAAUCCCAACACAAUGUACCCUGGAGGUAAUGACGAAAACAACUCCUAACACCACUUGUCAAAAAUGGAAUAGUGUUCAUCCAACAACUAAGGCAGUAAAUGAUAAAUUUAUAUUUUUUACUAAUAUUGCAUUGGCUAAUUUCUCCUGUGUUAGCUUUACAGGGACAGGUGUUAAGGUGGGAAUUCUGAACAAAACAUGCUGUCAUGAUAUCCAUCUGCAAAGUGCCCCACUGCUCCCAUGCAGCGAUGUGUGGUGGUGGUGUGUUGGUCAAAAGUUGUAUGACACACUGAUAAAUGCAGCAGGAAUGUGUGUGCACUGGUAUCACUGUUCUUAUCUGUGACUGUGUUUCCAUCCAAAGCAGAGGAUAUACAAUUGGCCGCAUCCAUCAUUGGACUUCCCCUUGGGUUCUCCCGAAGGCGAAGGUCCUCUUGGAAAGAUGGAGAUCCGACAUACAUUGAUGCAAAUGGCAUACCAACUGCGUACUAGUUGAGUAUAAGUUGGUUAACGAGAUUGCUUCAGGAUGGGAAUCCAUCUUGUUAUGGAUAACUCUGAAUAAAAACGUUGACAGAAUCAACUACAUACAUUACAAUGUACAAAAACUAGUUAAUUAUACAAAAGCAGGCUUUAUUGCCAUAAGAGAACAAGCAGCUGCAACCUCACUCAUGACUUUCCAGAACCGCAUAGCAGUUGACAUGCUCCUGGCCGAGAAGGGUGGCGAUUGCUCAAUGUUCAGUGACCAGUGUUGUUUAUUCCAAAUAUCACAGCACCUGAUGGGUCACUCACAAGGGCCAUUCGAGGCUUCCGCACCCUGAACCACAAGAUGAAGGAGCACUCUGGUGUAAAUACAUCAUUCUGGUCUGAGCGGUGGGAAAAAAAAAAAGUUUGGCAAAUCUAAAAAUUUGGUGUUCUCUGUCCUAGUUUCUAUAGCUGUUUGUGGCUAUUCUUGCAUUGUGUGGAAGUUGUUUCAUUCCCUGCAUAAAGGCAUCACUUCACCAACUUAUAACCCGACAAAUUCUAAAUUGGCAGAAAUAUAUCCACUAUUGGCACAACGGGGUAAAGACAGUGAUAUUGUUGACCACGAUCAUGACGUUAUGACUUCUCUUCCAGACCUGUUCUCUGAUCCAGAAGAUUAAUUAGUACUAUAUUUUCCUCCGAGUUCUAUGUUUGUUUUCCUAAAUAUGACUGUAGAAUAAAACCGAAAUGAUGAUCUAUUAGAUGAUGUGAGUAUUUGAGCACAUGUAGGAUAAACAGGAGGAUAAUGUAGAAAUAAUUGUCAAUAUAAUUAACUGUUUCUGCCUGCAAUGAAGAAAUUCUUUGCUCUGCUCCAAUUCAGUUCCUGUUCCUGCCUGCAAUGAAGAAAUGCUUUGCUCUGCUCCAAUUCAGUUGCUGUUCCUGCCUGCAAUGAAUGUUUGCUCUGCUCUAGAAAACGUGGUAGCAAAUGUAGGAUAAAAAGGGGGAAAUGUAGGAAUAAUUGUGAUCAGAAUUAUCAUACAUCUGCUUUCAAUAAAGAAAUGCUUUGCUCUGCUCUAGACAACGUGACAGCCUCCUAGCAGGAGAUAGCAAGAACAAAAACAUCUAAUCAUCAGAACUGUUAGAACUGCUGCUGCCUGUUAAAGAAAUGAUGACCACAGAUGUAUUCAUCAAUCUUCAACACAAACACCACAACAAACAUGUACACCUUGUUUCCAACUGUUUUUCUUGCUGACUCCUUUUUGUAACAUCCAUGUAAAUAAGGGGCGUCUUAAAACUAAAUAAAUAGCGGUGCUGAGGAGAGGAUAAUCAGAGAGCGGAGUGGUGAAUUGUACAAGACAGUUCCUCUCCUCUCUCCUCGCGAGACUUGAACUGGUGUCUUUGCUUCCUUUUUUGUCCUGUUUAAUGAAUGUCUUGAUUGGUGAACCUGACAUGACCACAAGUAUUUGAAGUCCUCCACCCUCCCUAUCUCCUCUCCCUGUAUGUAGCCUCACACUUCCCCCGCCACUCCUCUCAUUAAUGCACAUACAGUGCCUUGUGAAAGUAUUCGGCCCCCUUGAAAAAAUAAAGAUAUAACAUUUUUUUUUAAAAAAUGUCAAAAAUCAACAAGUGGGACACGAUCCCGAAGUGGAAUGAAAUUUAUUGGACAUUUUUUAAACUUUUAUUAACAACUAAAAAACUGAAAAGUGGAGCGUGCAAUAUUAUUCGGCCCCCUUGCAUUAAUACUUUGUUCCGCCACCUUUUGUUGCAAUUACAGCUGUGAGUUGCUUUGGGUAUGUCUCCUAUCAGUUUUGCACAUCGAGAGACUGAAAUUAUUCCCUAUUCUUCCUUGUAAAACAUCUCAAGCUGGAUGAAGAGUGUUUGUGAACAGCAGUCUAGAACUCUGCCCACAGAUUCUCGAUUGGAUUCAGCUCUUGACUUUCACUUGGCCAUUCUAACACCUGGAUACGUUUAUUUGUGAACCAUUCCAUUGUAGAUGUGGCUUUAUGUUUUUGAUCAUUGUCCUGUUGGAAGAUUAAUCUCCGUCCCAGUCUCAGGUCUUUUGCAGACUCCAACAGAUUUUCUUCCAGAUUGUUCCUAUAUUUGACUCCAUUCAUCUUCCCAUCAAUUUUAACCAUCUUCCCUGUGCCCACUGAAGAAAAGCAGGCCCAAACCGUGAGGCUGCCCCCACCAUGUUUGACAGUGUGGAUGGCUUGAUCAUGGCGAUGAGCUCUGUUGCUUUUACGCCAAACAUAUCUUUUUGCAUUGUGGCCAAAAAGUUCGAUUUUGGUUUCAUCUGACCAGAGCACCUUCUUCCACAUAUUUGGUGUGUCUCCCAGGUGGCUUGUGGCAAACUUUAAACAAGUCUUUUUAUGGAUUUUUUUUUUUUUUUUUAGAAAUUGCUUUCUUCUUGCCACUCUUCCAUCAUGGUCAGAUUUGUACAGUGGAUGACUGAUUGUUUUUGUUGUGUAUGACUCUCCAACAUCAUCUGUAGAUCUCUGUAGUUCAGCCAGAGUGAUUAUUGGCCUCUUGGCUGCAUCUCUGAUCAGUCUUCUCCUUGUUCGAAGUGAAAGUUUAGAGGGACGGCUGGGUCUUGGUAGAUUUAUAGUGGUCUGAUACCACUUGUAUUUCAAUAUCAUUGCUUGCACAGUGCUCCUUGAGAUGUUUAAAGCGUGGGAAAUCUUUUUGUAUCCAAAUCCAGCUUUAAACCUAUCCAUAACAGUAUCUCAGGACCUGCCUGGUGUGUUCUUUGGUCUUCAUGAUGCUCGCUGCACUUUAAACAGAACACUCAGACUAUCACAGAGCAGGUGCAUUUAUCCAGAGACUUGAUUACACACAGGUGGAUUCUAUUCAUAAUCACCAGUCCGCACUCGAUCAUUCAGAGAUCCUCACUAAACUCCUGGAGCGAGUUUGUUACACUGAAAGUAAAAAAGCCGAAUAAUAUUGCAAGCCCCAUUUUUCAUUUUUUUAUUUGUUAAAAAAGUAUAAAAUAUUCAAUAAAUUGUGUUCGUCAUCACGAUUGUGUCUCAGUUGCUGUUGAUUCAUGACAAAAAAAAUUAUUUUAUAUCUUUAUGUUUGAAGCCUGAAAUAUGGUGAAAGGUUGAAAAGUUCAAGGGGGACGAGUACUUUCACAAGGCCCUUAAAAAUGGAAACUAGCCCACUUUUCCUUCAUUCUUCAGAUCUCUCUUCACCCACUUGUAUUCUGUUGAAUCAGUUGGUUAAAAACUCCACACCCACCUCUCCAAUUUGCUUCCAUACCUCCACAGAUAAGUCAUCAGGAGCAACUGCCUUUCUAUUUUUCAUCUUCGUUUCUGCCUUUCUAACUUCCCCCUUACUAAUCAUUGCCUACAUCACACUUGCCUCUGCAACUCUUCCUGCUCUUAAUUUUUUUUAUCAAGUUCUCAAAGUAUUCUUACCAUCUCUUAAGCACAAUACUGGCAGCAGUCAACGCAUUUUCAUCUCUAUCCUUAAUCACCCUUACCUUUUGCACAUCCGUCCCAAAUCUAUCCCUCUGUUCGGCCAACCUGGAGAGAUCCUUUUCCCCUUUUUUCCUGUCCAACCUGGUGUACAUGUCAUCAUAAGCCUCUUGUUUGGCCUUAGUCAUCUCUAUCCUUGCCCUAUGUCGCAUCUCAAUGUAUUCCUUUUACCUCUCCUUAGUCCUCACAGUGUCCCACUUCUUUGCUAGCUUCUUUCCUUGUAUGACUUGUAUUUGAUGUGUAUUUUGGGGUUCCACCACCAGGUCCUCUUUUGCACUUUCUUACCAGAAAACACACCAAAGGACUUUUCUGUCUGUCCCUCUGAUCACCCUGGCUGUAGUAGUACAGUCUUCUGGGACCUCCUCCUGUCCAUCAAGAGCCUGUCUCCCCUCUUUCCGAAAGGCCACACAAAAUUCUUCCUUUCUCAGCUUCCACCAUAUGGUUCUCUGCGCCACCUUUGUCUUCUUAAUCUUCCUACUCACCAUCAGAGUCAUCCUACACACCAAAAUUCUAUGCCAUUGAGCUCAACUCUCCCUUACCACUACCUUACAGCCAGUCACCUCCUUCAGAUUACAUUGUCUGCACAAAAUGUAAUCAACCUGCGUGCUUCUACCUCCACUCUUGUAAGUCACCCUAUGUUCCUGCCUCUUCUGAAAGACUGUGCAGGUUGGUACAUGUUAAGAUGUUAGAACAGAUGUUUGCAUGUUAUAAUUGGGAUGUCAAUGUUGAUGACAAACCAUCAACUUUGUUUCACAUCGAUGAUCUGAUAGACAACCAAGACAGCCCAAUUAUCGUCUUUGUGGUUGCCACUUCAAAGAUGGCUUGACGGAGAAUGACCCAGCUCGCAACCACAGAAAAUGGAUGGACUUCGCGGAUCCAGAAAAGAGCAGCGAGGAAGACCAAAGAAAAUGUUGAUGGAUGUUGUGAGGGAGGACAUGAGCACAGUGGGUGUUGGAGAGGAGGAUGCACGAGAUGGGCUUAAAUGGAAAAAGUUGACACGCUGUGGCGACCCCUAAUGGGACAAGCCAAAAGAAAACAAAGAAGAAGACGAAUGAACAAAUGAUAAAAGUUCUCUGCAGAAAGAGAAAGAAGUGCAAUGAGGAGCAAUUGGAGACAUUUGUCAAUGAGAUGGCAAUGAAUAGUCCGCAGCUGGGAGAUGAACAUGUCCAAACAGCUGAUUGUCAUGCUCCUGGAUUCCAGCCAGGGCUUGGCGUGGCCAGCUAAUCAGAAGGUGCACACCUGCGCCUCAUGACCACUGAUUAGACCCAGUACAUAUAGGACCCGGGGGACGACAAAUACUCCGCUAGAUUGUUGCUCUUCAUGCCUCGUUCCCGCACUCCUGCUUUCCACUGACCACCCUCGUAAGCCCAUUUGUUCUGGUACUUCGGAUUGUUUGGACUGUCUACCUGAUCUCAGACCUCGGACCGAAUAAAGGUUUCCUCUGUACUGUCUGCUGUCUCUGGAGUCGUGCAUUUGGGUCCACCCUUGAGCCCCGCAUCGUGACACUGAUGAUGAUCCACAUGAAGAUAACAGCUUGCUUGUCUAGAAGUAUGGAGCUGAUGAUGAAACUAAAAGAAGUAAAACCACAUCUGAAAAAUGUUGAGGACCUCUUGCUAGAAUGUGAAAACCGCGAAACCCAUGUUUAUUUUCCGACAUAACGGACAGCGAAGAAAAGAUGUGUCUGUAUACUUCGCUGCCCCAUGAUGUCUUCAACAUCUUGUCAAUGAUCCUCCAAAGAUUUGAGCUCAAUUAUUACAGUGGAUGGGGUCUUAAAGCUGAAUCUGAGAGAUGCUGACCUAUAUCAACGGUUCUGUACCAGGAGGGCUACCUUUCCAACAUUAUACACAUACUCAUAACAUGCACUUUUUCAAUGUUGUUUAAGGGAGUUGUUAACCAGAGACUUGCCAGUCAGCUGAAAUGUACGGGGUCUCUCCCGAAAGCUUUGAAAGAGUUUUCCUCUCCCAGAGCUUCCAUGGACGGUGUAGGAAUAACAUAAUCCAUACCACAACACUUACAUGUUCAGUCUGCUGUGUACAGCUCAGAAAAUUAAGGCACACUGUAAAAGCCAUCAAAUGUGUCACUCCAAGUGGCUGUAUAAACUAUUGCUCUUCCUUAUAUCCAGGUUCCUUUUUCAGAGGUUGCCAUUGUAUGACGUAUGAAUAAAUUCCAGGCUGGAGACCUUAUCCUUGGUGAUAAAGGUUUUACGAUACAUUACCAAUUACCAAGUGGUAAACACUUAAAUCUCCCAUCUUUCCUUUCCAACAAGAGCGCAUUACACCACAAGAGGCAGCGGCUUGUUGGUAGAUCGCAAUGGCACGUAUUGUGGAACGUGUAAACGAAAUAAUAAAAAAUUUUUGGGAUACUAGGCCACACAUCUGCACCAUACAGACCAAUCUCUGCCAAAAUCUUUCAGUCAUGUUCAACUGUAGUAAACCAAAGUUGAAAUAAACAUCGGAAGCUGGAAGAAUGUUAACAAUAAAUGUACAAGUAGUUGAGUAUUAAAAGAUGCGUAUGUUAUUGAGCAGAUUAUUGAUUUUACAAUAUAUAUUUAAGUUAAGUUACAUGGUAGAUUUAUUAUUUCACCAUGCAUUUGUUUAUAUCAUCCUUGCCCGAAUCAUUCUUCCGAGCAACCGUGCGACCCGAAGUGUGACCCAGCGACAUCUGUUCCUCCAUUUUUUGGUAAUCUUGUGACCCUUUGUUUUGAGAAACUAAUAAAAAGGGGGACACCGAUAAGGCUGACUCAGAAUGUGGUUUGGAGUUGCAGCUCGUCAGUCAAACCCAUUUCUCCUCAUGAGCCAAAUUGAAGACCUCUCUUCUAUCUGAUGAUUAGACAUUUUUGUUCUUGCUAUCUCCUGCUUGGGGGCUGCCACGUUAUCUAGGGCAGAGCAAAGCAUUUCUUUAUUGGAAGCAAAUGUAUGAUAAUUAUGAUCACAAUUAUUCCUAAAAACAUGAUUAGCAAUAUCGAUGCUUAGGAAGUUAGAAGUAUGCUUCCGUCUUGAUAAAGGCUAAGGAUAUAGCCGAAACAUCCACGUAUGGCACACUUAUAACGUGUUGGCUAACAUACACAGAGUGAUUUCACUGUUAGAAACCUGAUGUAAAGUUUGUAUAUUUUGGAAACAAGUGUAUAUAUAUAUAAAACGAUGGUUGUUCAUGAAGACAAGAACCGUUCUUGGACUCUUUAUUAAGACACCUGGACUGUACAGAAUAGACUUUGUAAAAUAGGCACAACAGGUGCCUUUAAAAAAAGCAUAAAAAGACAUUCCACCGCUUCCCGAACACGAGGAAAACGGGAAGAUGGAGCGGUAUUGGGAGGAUGGCUAGGACUGGGCGGACGCCCGGGACAGGUGGCGCCGCAGGCCUACACGUGGCUUCUGGGGGCGCGAUGGCGUGGCGCAGGGGGGUCGAUGUCCGCAGGCCCGUGCACUAUGCUCUCGUCGGGGGUACUGGGGCGCAUGUCCUGGGGACCCCCCCUUGGGGCUCAAUUCAAAAAACCUAACCAGCCUGUGCCACUCCGCAUCUCCAGCACGCGAACGGCGGCCCCCAGGGACAGCGCAGGAGGUCGUGGUCCUUGCUGACAAGUUCGACCUGACAGAGCCCCAGAUGGAGGUCCUCAGCAAGGGACUCACCUUCGUCCCAGCGCUGGGCGCGGUCAAAGACCGGUGAUCCCUACUCAAAUUGGACAUACAAAAUUAAUACAGGAAAUUGAAAUUGGCCACUCAUUACGAAAACAUAGAAUAGGAGGGAGGCAUGACGGAGCCCCCCCAUGUAGUGCAAGUCGGAUUGGACGCCCCCAUUCGAGGCUCUUCCGCAAUUCAUCCACACACGCAUUCAAUAUUUCUACCUCUCACCACUCGCCACCAAACACGACUCCUACCUCAGAGACACAUACCAAUUUUCAGAGAAAAUCAAAAAGUUUACACACCUUGAUAACAAUGUGCUCUUCUUGAGCAGGGACGUGGACAAUUUACACACCGAUAUCCCCAUCGACGAGGGCCUCCAGUGCGUAAGGAGGAUCUUCCGAAGGCAACCGGACUCGAGGAGGCCGGAUGAGGAGUUAUUGAAACUCCUCGUGAUGAAUUUGGACUCAAAACGAUGUCGUAUUUAACGAACAAUUCCUUACAGAUUGGAGACUGUACUGACCAAGUGCCUCGGCAGACCUUUGGGCUACCUCAGGUACCGAGAUGACAUUCGGGGACUCUGGAUGAUGAGCCGGGACCAAUUCGAACACUUUGUACAGGUACUAAACACACACAACCCUAAAACUUCAUGAUACAUGGGUGGGACCUACUGACGUUUACGGGACUGCAAAAGAAAAUGACGUGGACUGACGUUUGGAGAAAAUGGACAGAAAAAAAAAGUGGAUCAGAGACUGGGGAUGAUAGAACCGUGGGGUCUGAACUCGCACAGGCGGACGCCCCGCUAAUCGGGGCCGGGACAAGCCGGGCGGGAGACGGACAGGGCCGUAGGCCCUAAACACAAGUCGGUCGGUGAAAAGGAGGAGACGCCCCCAAGCACUGGGGGCCCUCAAAGCCCUACUACGAACCUGAACCAAGUUAGUACGCACCACCGCACAUCUUCUAGUAACCUAACCCCAAACCCUUUCUUACCCUAAACAUUAGGAAAACUACACAAACAACCCUACAACCUCACCCAAACCCUCCCCGAACCACAACACAGACCCAGGAGGGAGACU